AAUAGAUCCUGAAACCGCAUGCAUUCAAAAAGUCGGAGCCCGCAAGGGUGACGGCGUACCUUUUGUAUAAUGGGUCAGCGACUUACAUUCAGUGGCGAGGUUAACCGAAUAGGGAAGCCGUAGAGAAAUCGAGUCCGAACAGGGCGAUAGUCGCUGGUUGUAGACCCGAAACCAAGUGAUCUACCCUGGCCAGGAUGAACGUGCGGUAACACGCCCUGGAGGUCCGAACCCACUAAUGUUGAAAAAUUAGGGGAUGAGCUGUGGGUAGGGGUGAAAGGCUAAACAAACUUGGAAAUAGCUGGUUCUCUCCGA
rnacentral:rRNA from 1 species